CUUUUGUGGUUUUGGAUGGACUCGCGGCCUAUCAGCUUGUUGGUGGGGUAAUGGCCUACCAAGGCGACGACGGGUAGCCGGCCUGAGAGGGUGACCGGCCACACUGGGACUGAGACACGGCCCAGACUCCUACGGGAGGCAGCAGUGGGGAAUAUUGCACAAUGGGCGCAAGCCUGAUGCAGCGACGCCGCGUGAGGGAUGAAGGCCUUCGGGUUGUAAACCUCUUUCAGUAGGGAAGAAGCCGGCCUUCGGGUUGGUGACGGUACCUGCAGAAGAAGCGCCGGCUAACUACG
rnacentral:rRNA from 1 species